CCAGACAGAAACGCAAUCGCAAUGCAGGCCAAUCCCUCUGCCCCGUUCGUCCACCCGCUCGCUCGCCCUCCCGUUCCCGGUAAUGACAAUCAUUACGGGGAAUGAUUGCAGCGUCGGGUCCGCCAGCGCGCCAGCCGCUAUUGGGGGAUGGAAACCACCUUAUAGAGUCUCUCCUCGGUCCUCGAUGCGAGCGGUUUGUCACAUGCUCCCGACGCGGCGGAGUGUUUCCUUUUCGUCGCGAUUCCUUACGAAUUCGUUACCACGGUGAAAAAAUACCAUCCUUUUCGCUGAACGAUCGUGUAAGAUGGACAGACGUUGAGGACGCGAUCGUUCGAAGUAUGGCCGACGAUUUCGAGCCUCGAACACGUGGAUUUCUAGAAGAUUUCUAUCAUGGAGAAAGGUUUACCGAGAUUGGAUUGGAAUUUUUGUGGCUUUUCGAGGUGUUAAUUUGAGAAAUGGAAUUGGAGUAAUGGACUGCGAUGUUGGAUCGAGAAAGUGACGAAUGGAAGACGCGGACGAUGCGACGGUCGCGUGAUGGAAACGUCUCAGUGCGAUAUGAGUGCGUCAUCGAAUACUCAGGGUCAGGAUGAUGUAAUUACUGGAAGAUUUUUUGUAUGGCUCGGCGAAUGAUGGAAAAGUCUUGUGAUAAACAUAGUAAAAUGUAUGCAAAAAGUCUAUACAUGAGAAUCAUCGAGAUGACGGAAGAACAUGGCGGUCAUUCGACCACGUGACUGUUUGUGCGACCAUUUUCAAGGUGCAGCACAGGGACAGAGGAAAAAAGAGAACGAGAACCUUGAACCAAUCGUAAAUGGCGUGGAGUGAAAGCGGUCGGUCUCCGCGGUUUUCCCAGAAGAGCGCGAGCCACGAAAUUAUCGACCUGUAAAUCGGAACGUAGGAUCUCGUUUCUUACUUACCAACGUGGGUAUGAGCUCGCUCUCUGUGCCAGAAGAAAAAGGAAAUAUAAAAGAGAGAACGAAGAUUGAACGUAGACGUUGGUCCCGAGACGAAAAUCGUGAAUCCGGUGCGUGCUACGAACGACGAUUCAGACGUUACAAUUUGCUCCUCGCCGCGAACAGCUUUCUGCCACGUCAAUCCUCGCACGUCGAAACAUGGCUCGGUGUUCCCUACGAUUGAUUUACAUCAUCCAUUUGACGGAUUACGAAUAACGAUGUUUAGAUGUUUCAGAAAAUGACUGGCGAGCCGGGUUUGAAGAUUUCUAUCGAGAACAUUAUUGCACAACGCAACCGAGUGAUUGAUGGAGAGCGUGCACUAUUUUCUGACAUGGUUUCGAUGAAAAAAAGUGUCAUUUAUUUCCCCCAGUGAUAACUCUGGGAAUCCUUCCACUUGGAUUAAUGACUAACCAUUAUCGUGCAAACUGUGUAUCAUUUCUUACACUUUAAUUGCGAGUAACUGGAAAAUAAAGCGGUAGCUUCGCCCACGAAAAACCAGAGAGAAAGAGAGAGAUUUAUUCUAUGCCAUUAUAGUAAUCAAAAAACGAGAAAAGGAGCUGCAAUAGACGAGAAAGCGUCGUUGGGUCACACCUUACCCGAUCGAAAAGGAAGAUGAGAUUGAACGGUGACACUCGACGGACAAUACCCCGUGACUCGAUUACACACGAGUACCGUUAAUCAUCCUAAUAGCGUGCGCAUAAUGUCAGAUACGAUCUGCGUUCGCUUGCUACGGUAGAUUCGUGAUGCCACGCUCCUCCAACGAUCGUUCGGCCCACGUGCGACUCGGCGUCGCACAGGAUGAGUCGAAUAGAAAAUGAAAUCAUGCUCCGCCGCUUAGAAGUACGGCUUUAAGAUCGUGAAUGGGCGUACGGAGACAAUCGGAGACGCUAGGCGCCUGAAUUCCGAUUGGACGUUGCCUUCUAAUUGAGUCAUCGUGUCAUUAGCGUUAUAAUAAUCACGGCUCGUAACGAAACGAUCUCUCUUUGUCGACUGUACGCUGGCCUGGAACGCCACCGCCGGGAAAACACACAGAUCCACCCGAAGAUCGUACGUAGAUCGAUGGCCAAUUAAGCUCAAUUACCGACACGGAUAAUCGGCCACCGUCGGUGAAAGAAUGAUUAUUCCGCGAAUGAUCGGUUAGGAUAUCGACCUUGGCUGAUUUUGCAAGAUCGAUUGCAACGAUAAAAUAGACAGAGGGAGGAAUUCUUGACCAAGUAGGAAGAAUGAUUGGAUGGAGAAAGGAGUUUACGAGGGAGGAAAGAGAAUUUCUUAAAUUGAAUUUGCGAUUACAUUUGAAGAUAUAUUGAAAUAAUAUUGCUAGAUUUUAUAGCUAUAUCGUACUUGUCUAAUGUAUUGCACAAGAUAGGAAUUAUUCUGCAACGAAUAUGAACAACGAUUGAAGAAAGAAGAUCGAAAGGAAGGAUAGUUUCCUGAAUUGAAUAUUCUUGAACGAAUAUGAAAACCGAUUGGACGAAGAAAGAAGUUGGAAAGAAAGGUAGAAUAGUUUCCUGAACUGAAUUCGCGAUCAUAUUUAGAGGUAUUAAAAUAGAAUUGGUAUACUAUAUCGUAUGUAUUCGUCGAGCCGCCUAUUUCACUGGAAUCCGAACAAAGAGGGCCUCGCAUUUUCGGAACGAGUUACCGGAACAUCGCGUGCCACCGAAAUAUUCUGGAAAUAUGCUAAUUACCAGUUAGUCAGUCAGUUUCUUGUGGCAUUGCGCCCGUUUCUACGAUCGCUAUUGCCUCCUUUCCACGCGGUUCACCUUGUCGAGACGUUUCGUCCCUUCUUCCCUGACUCUUUGUCCCGGUUUUCAGGAUUGUUCUUGUCCUUUGUCCGCCGCGUUCGAUUGUCCCUUCGAACAUGCGACAAUUUGACGCCGUUUAUCUUUCAUUCUUUUCCGUUCGAACAGAAGGUUUAGUUUCUUUUUUUAUGGAGAGUUUUAAAGUCAUAAAUAUGGGUCAAAGAAAAAUUGCACCUGUGUCCAAGUGGGUUCUUGGGAACUUCAUGCCGAUCCUUGAAUUUUUUUUAAUUACGCAAAGGAAUACUUUACUUCUGUGAACCCUUUCUUAAUAAUCACGAACAUUUGUCUUGAACUUUUUUGAUAGAUAUUACGUGACAGACGAGUGAUUUAUUUAAAGAUUUUUGAACUAGAAGCGAAUCGAUUGAACCUUCUCUGUAAUUCUACCGUUACUGUCUGACGAAGUCUAUUCUACUUCGUACAACUUCAAUCCUCCAUAGCCAUACAUUUUACAGACUCUUUAGACGGAGUGGGUCGUUUAUAUUCAAGUGUAAAUCUUCUGCUGUUCUCGAUUUUCAAAAAACGUACAAAACUUCUGGAGUACUUAUCAGUGUUUCUAUCUUAUUAUUAUACAACGCUACGUUGAAGCAAAUAUUUGAAACCUUUUUUAAUAAAAAUGAAAAAUCUUUUCUCAAGAAAAUUGAAUUGUUCUCGAUGGAUUGAAUAUGUAAGCGUACAAUUCUCAUAGAACCGGCAAGGUUAAUAAAACUUAAUUUUCUAUUAGCGUGACAGGCAAAAUGUUAAUUUCUAGUAUUAUGUACUAUAUUUUUCUUCUUAUCAGAAAUUGAAAGAUUUACGAAGAGCUAAAUAUUGUGUGCAGCCACACAACUUUCGUAGAAACAAGAGGGUGAAAACAUAAGUUCUUAACGCCAUUGAAGGCAAGGUGCUAAUUUGUAAUUAUCGUAUACUAUGUUUUCCUUUUUAUAAUCGAGCUUUCGACUCGUUUUUCAUCGGCAGGGAUCGUUGUCAUUGAGAAAGGCCGGCCAACAUCUCGCCAAUGUGCUUUCUUGUCUCUCUGUUGUGUGCAGUACAAGCGUGCAUACUUUCUGUCUUCACUCCCAUUAAUUAACCACACUGUGUACGCGGUUGUUCUCCUGUUUCGAGAAUGAGGAGCGACCCCUGCGCUGUAUCGCCGGCCUACAACAUCCGCCCUGAAUUAAUUGAAUAUACGGUUCGCGUUUACACGCGAUACGGAGCCAGUCUUUGUGUGUUGACUAAUACGGGGCUUUGGUACGUUGGGGAAAAUUAAAAAUUCAUCGGAAAUCGCGCGUAGGACGGCCUACCUCAUUCCCGCGAAACCGUAGGGUUUCGUGUGAUUCGAGACCCGAGCCGUGGCACCCACACGUCCAGCCUUCCCGCGAAUUCGUUCAGAAAAAACAACAACCUUCUUGGAAACCUGUAUCAUGCGAAUAUUAACAAAUAGAAUGCGAAUUUUUAUGCAUUUAUAAGAAAUUUGAAAAUACAAAAUUGUACAGAGCGCGCGUGAUACGUAGAAAAUAUAUAAAAUAUCGAAAAUAUAGCGCUUUGUAUGAUAUCGAUAGUUGGAAUAAUCUUCUACGGAGAUUGGCAGAAAAUGCGUAUACGAAUCCCAAAAUAUUAUACGCGUCCUGUUCACUACCAACAUAUUUUUACGUGUCUCGUUCAACAAUGAUUUCAUUAUGUUCUCAAUGACGUGAAUUUGCAUGGAAAUGCAGUCAAUUAAUAAACUUCGAACCACGUUUGGGAAGUGGUUCUUCCAAAGGUACGGCUCUGACUUGAUGGCAAAUGCGAAACGAACGAGUGAAAUCAGGAAAACUGGACUACCAUAGUCGUUGUAGUAUUCCACCAAUGUUUUUCUCCUUCGAUGUCUGGUUCAUACAAACUCGUCACACCAUUUUCUAAACUUUGUUCUCGAGCAUGUUCGAGUGGUAAAACCGUGACGUUUGCACCUUCGAGUGCAGCAUCGACGGCGGCGCGUAGAGAACAACCGGAAACGAGGGCAGGUCUAUUAUCGCCCCGGAGGUUAUACGAGCUAGCCGAAGUUUCAUCGCCGUGGAGUUCCAGGUACAGCAAUAUGUUGUUUUAUGGUGCAAUCAUCGGCGCGGUAAUAAUCAUUAAAUCCGUUGGCCGAAGCUGUGGGCUCCAGGGUCUCGUGGUCUUUGUCUCUUUCUCUCUUGAACGAGCUCGUCGUUAGGCUCAGAUUAAUUCGUUGAUCCUGAUGUUUCGCUGUUAAACGAUCAACAAGAAUAAUCGUUUGUUCUAUUAGCUGAAAACAAACUUUCUUACGAAAGAGAAUUUGACUGAAAAAAUUGCCAUUCAAAGAAUUUCUUAACUUUAACUAGCAUUAAUUCUUUCAUAGAGAGGAAUCGUCGGUGAUACUGUACCGAAAAAAUUUUCUUUCGUUCACCUUCGUAUUAGGGAAAAAUACGAGAGAUUCCGAGAUAGUUGAUGGGUUAAAAACAGAUUGAAUUUAAAAAGUUGUAGCUCAAACACGGUUUUGCGUUUAAUUCUUUCGCAAAGAAAUUUCCCCAAUAGGCUAAAGGCGCCGGCUAUGAUUGCACAAAAAUCUUUUCUCGUUUAUCUCUUCUAUUAAGGACAGCAUAGGAAGGGAGAGAAGUAGAAAAUCAGUGAGUUAAAGGAGGAAAGAAGGAAGAUCGUCAUUCAAGUGAUUAUCUUACUUGAUAUUUUUGUGCAGAAAUUUUUCAUCACUCUAGAGGCGCCAGCGAUGGAUACCAAAAAAUCCUUUUUCUAUAUCGAGAAAAGAAAAGAGAAGGGAGACUACGAAAGGGUUAGUUAGCGAGUUAUAUGAUGGCCAUAAUUGCGGUUUAUUGUCUCAAUAAAUAUAUAUUAUACGACACACCCCGGCUAUGUAUCAAGGCAGAAGCAGCUUGAUCGAGCUGCUUCCCGGGAUUUGAAAUCAGACGGCAUGUGUCGGCACAUAUAAGGCGCAGUUUAUGAGUCUGCUUAAUAUGGUUUAUGGUGUUUUGUCCGGCUCUUGUCGACUCCCUACGGAACCGGAAGAUACCUCCUAACGAUCUACCGAGAGAUGAUGACGAGGAUCAAAUAACGAUGAACCAUCGACAACACGUGUUCUUUAUAUUCAACGAAAAUUAUGUAUGUUUUAAACGUAAUUAUAAAUAUGGAAAAUAUUUUACAAAGGAGGAAUAAUUUAUUCCACAAACAUCAUGUUACAUUUAAGCAGACGAUACAUCAAUUAUGCUCACCUUGUGAAUCGAUGACUGAAAUUACAGCUUUUUCCAAUGAUGAUGUCAAUUUACUAAAAAAGUAGCGCCAAGAAACAAUUUAACGUCUUUAUGCUUGAUCGAUUGUUGGCCAGGUUACUGAUUCAAACGUACUUACACUCGUAUAUUGUUGCAUAAUAUGCAAUUAAGGAGACAGGAAGCGUGUACAAUUUGCUAUACGUGUUAGCUUCCGCUCUGAAUUUAUCGAUCCUCGCCGUGUCGAUUGAUAAUAUUUACCGAUGAGUUUUACAUUGCAUAAGUUACUAUUUUCACAACGGGCAUGUAUCGUCACGACAGAGCUGUCUAUUACGCAACGCGAAAUAAUUAACUAAAUAAGCGACGUAAACGUUCUACUUUUCUAAUCUUCUCUAUAGUCGUUUUAUGCCUACAUUUCGUCGAUGAGUGCCCAUUAGAAGUUCAUUAUUCUUAUCUUAAUUACACCAACACGACGGUGGUUCAACAUUGUUGUGCACUUGCUCACCGUGAACCCACAAGUCGUGGGAUAUCGUGUCAUUCCAUUGGUAUAAUCUAAUAAUAAUUCAUAAAACGUAGCCCGUGUCGCGGACGUGACGAUCGGAAGAUAACGAAAAUGAUAAACUAUACCUGUAGUAUCUAGCAAUGGAAGCCAGAGACGAAAGCUGAAAAUUGCACAGUUGUAACAAAACUGUAGAUUUUUAUUCCUUUUCAUCGUAGUAUACUUAUUCUUUUUAUCUUUGCCUCUGUAGUAGCUUUGUACUGCUGCUAGCAACAUGUUGAAUUUUUAUUUCAAUCAAAGAUAGAUGAUGUAUCAGGAAGUUCAUAGGUAUACGUGCGAGUAGACUGUAGAUAUUUAGGAAAAUUUAUAUUUUUAUAUAAACACGAUCGAAGAAAUGAAACCUAAGUAAAGAUUUCUUUCGACUACUUAAUAUUAGAAAAGGUAGUGCACUUUGGGCAUUUAAUUAUGUUUUUGCGUGCUCUCAAAUUUUUUAUAAAUACAUAAAAAUCAACAGUUGAGUAAUCAGUCUGAUCUUUGUGAUAAUCGAACCAUCGAUGUGCACUAUCGCGCGAUGCAAAUGCAACUCCUAAAUAUUGUUUGUUCGUUUAGCCUUUGUAUACAAAUUAAGACGUUGCAGGAGAAUCGGAACGAGUGGUUCAUUAUAGUAAACGCAUUCUUCCAGAUAGCGUAAAAGCGUUAGUCUUGCUGCCGGCUAAUUCCGCUUGAAUUUAACGGCAAGGACAGCCUAAUUGAUCUAUGCAAUUACGUACCGGUGGCGUAAGUGGUGCUAAGUGAAUACCGUGGUAAGCCUUGGUUUCUCGUAAAUUAUCGGACAGCAAUUUGGUGCGCGGAAAACAGAAGUAAAAAGACACCGAUGAAUCCCUUCGAUCGACAGAAAUACACAGCGUGCGAUAAGCCUUUUUGCGCAACUUUUUCGCAUCGUAAACAACAGUUUUAUUAUCCCCAUUGGCUAUCACGCUGUUAUGGUUUGCCUAUUUAUCAGAAUCUGCAAUUUCAAUACGAUCCGCUAUCUUUCAUUUAACAUUCGUAAUUUAUUUUUCUCAAUUUUCUUGUUAUAUUCUUGUGAUUUGUGUUUCGGUAGUACAUGGCGUGCUUGUGACAGUCCUUUGUUCCAUUGCUGAGAAUUUUGGAACCGAACCAGUUCCACAGACCCCUAACAUUAGAGCUCGCCUUAUUUUCUCGUAAUGACAGUCCAUCGAGGACUGUCUUCGGGUUCGAGAUUUGGAGGUUGAAAUGAAAGACGCUCCUUGGAUCGUCCGAUGAUCGUUGAGACUCUUCCUUUACCAUUAUUUAUUCCGAGAGUUGUACUCGUGUUUGGAAUUUUCUUCCGUUAUUAUCGUGUUAAACAGACUAUUUUUGUUUAUUAAUAUUACCGGGAAUAUUAAUUUUUCUGUUUCUUUACUACGACUAUGUAUUUUAUUUAUUCGAACGAAUUAAGCUCGUGUUAAUCGUAUUAAUGAUAAUCGGCGCUAAAUGCAAGAACUUAGCAAGAAAACAACACCAUAACGGGAUGAGAAGAAUAAUACAUUAACCAUCGCCGGUCGUCGCGUCGGUUGUCUUCAUUUCACGGGGCUUUUUCCAGUAAACGGCAUGAUGGAUGCGACGGCGAGAAUGCAGUCGACGGGACAAGAAGAAGUCCAGAUGUACAUUCUUACAUAACAAUUGCGAAUUCAGCUAAUAAAUUAUAACACGUCCUAAGUGUCUAAGCAGCGAGCGUCUAUCACAAAACCCUUGCGAUAUCGCCAACCGUCGGAAAAAGGGAAACGUUCACCACAUAUGGAGCAAAUACCAUUUCCCAGUCAGAGGCCGAAGAAACGAAGAGUGAAAGGGAACUUUCUGAAAUCCUUUCAUUUCAGUAAAAUUGCGGUUUAUUGACACUGAUGAUCUAAAAUUCGCUGCAGCGAAUCGUCGCUAACAAAACGACCGAUAAACGUUUUAUACCUUCGCUUCGUGCUUUCUUCCAGUUCCCCCAGGAAGUAAAUCCAACUUUCCAUCCUCAUGUGGAGGAACCUAGUUCAUAAAAUUCGAUAACCAGAACAUUUGCAUAGACGCACGAUAGAAAUGGUCUCUCAAUAACGCAACCGAAUAACACACUGCAAAUUCCGAUCUGAUUUAAACGAAUCAGUCUCUCGGAAUCAGAAUCAGAGCGAACAUAAAAGGACGAAGAGCGGACGAGUGCAUCGCGAGAUACCGCUACGUCGAGUUUUAGCACUAUCCCGCGUACCGGGAUUACUUUCCUUUCCCCCGAACGAUCUUUUUCGCGAACGGUGAACGGCACGAUCGAUGGCAACGGAAAAAAUGCGGUCGAUGCAGCAGGAAGGACGCAAGGUGGACACGGUCGAAGAGAGGGUGCAGCAGGGUCGCUGCUUUCCGUGAAUGCCGGCGGCUUCGUUUGAUGGUUUUUACCGAGAGUCCUGGAUACCGCGCGUUCCUAUAGCACGAUUGGCUCCUUCCAUGGGCCCCCGUUCGGUCAUUGGUCCUUUCCAACAGGAUCGUAGGUGCCCGUGGGACGACUUUAAACAGACGUCGUCGCCUUCUAAGUUGCUCUCCGCCGCGAUUCUUUUAUACACGCCAGCUCCGCGAUGUCGCCUAUACGUGCACGGAGAAAACGACCGUCGACAUUCUUCGGACCUCUCGUCGCGACCAAUCUUUACCAAGUUCGACUAUGGCGAAAAUGAAAUAGUGACUGCGUCACGUUAAGCUUUUGACUUUUAUGGGACACGGAUUUUCUCAUCGACGCUGAGAGAGACACUCGAGCGUGGUCCCUGCUUUCGACGAUUUUGGUCAAUGAGCAUGUGGACACUUAUUCGUAGUGAUCUAAAUCGACGAUAAAUUUCAUUCUUGGAGUAUUUAUUUAACGGUGGAGUAAUUUGAGCCUUGGACGAGGCUAGCAAUUUCUCUAUGGAGAUAUGAAUUACUUUCGUUGGUGAUGUGAUUUGGAUCUAUUCGAAUAUAUUCUUUGUAUCCUUUCGAAAUACUUGUUCGGUGAAGUGAUCUGGAUCUUGGCUGUUGUUGGGUGAAAUAGAAAUUUCUUUGUAAAUAUAUACAUAUGAUUUUAUCGAAGUAUUCAUUCGAUGGAAUAAUUUAAAUCUUUGGUGCUGCUAAGGAGGCGCAGAGAUUUCUCCGUAAACAUAUAAUCGGGUUUUCUUGAAAUAUUUAUUCUAUGGUAUACGCAAUUUGGGUGAUAUUGGGUGAGGCUGAGAAUUUUAGAAAUAUAUGAAUGUCAUUUUUAACUUUCUCUAUUUGUAUUAAUAUACCAGACUUUAUGCUUUAAAUUAAAGUUUUCGAACGUAAAGUCUCUCAUGUAAUUAAAAUUAUCGAUGGAAAAUUUGAUAGUCGAAAAGUACGAUAUUUGUUUCAUGGAAGUUGAUUAUAUUCGGAAUAAGCGUUCGAGCGGUUCUGGUAAAUUGUAAACCGCUUGAUAUUAUGAAAAGGAAGUACAUAAUGAGGGUUAUUGCUAGCAAUCGACUACUCGAUAUUCCGUUCUGCAUUAAGAUACGGAAUUAUGUUUAAAAUCGAGGACCCAAUUAGCCGAGGUACAUGCCAUUAGGUCCAUUCUGACGAAUCAGACGAACAUCCUUCGAUUCUGAGUGUAUAAAUCGUAACGUUAGAGGUUUUUUCGCGAUACUUAAAAUGCAGUUUCGUUAACGAAACUUCGAUCAAAGUCUCAGACGCGAAUAUGACUCGUAUACGCGGGCCAUGGUACUUGGAGGUUUUAUGGAGUGCCGUAUAAAGUGGGAUAAAGCCUCUGUUCCGCCGGCACGAACCGAUUCUGGUAUGCACGAGAGUUUGGUUCGCCACUUCCUGAAGAGAUGGCGCCACCAUAGCGGUCGAUACGUCUUUCAUAGUUCUUCGUGUACCAAGGUUAAAGAAACGGAACUGCCUAUGAUGAAGACAUCGACGAAAAUGCUACGAUCGUUUAAAAAUAACGAGAAUUAAUAGUCGUAAGUGGUUGUUCCACGUCAAAGAAAUAAUUUGUUACAUUUUAAUCGCGAUAUAAUAAAUAUUACAAGUCGUACGAUACUUUAACAUUAUUACAUUAUAUGCAUAAAGAAAGUCGAUGUGAACAGAUCGCGUUUGAUGUUUUCAGUUUCCAUGUUGUUUAUUUGUUUUCGCGUGUGUUCAGCUAAUGGCUGGAUACACGCUUGAUAAUGCCUUUAUAUGGCCCGAUAAAGCUCAUAUAGCUUUUAGCAAUGAAAUCAUAAUCGCGCGCGAUCGCCCGACACGAUGUAUUAACUACAUGCCAGCCCUGUUUGUAGCUACACGUAGACGCAUAAACGGUUCUAUUAAUUAUGUAGAUGAUGCUGUUGCGUCACGGAUCGACGCUGAAAACACUCGACCGAUUCCCAUAUACAUCUACAUGCGCGAUAUACAGAAGAGAACGACGCCUGAUAUUCCACCGAGAGAAAUGGCUUGAAGAAGAAGAGGAUUACCAGGUAGUUAUCCCUUAAAUGAACAGUUUUAUAACAAAACUCGAUAUCAAAAGUGGAAAUCUUGGCUAGAUGUUCCUAACGUACAUCUUCGUUUCUAUCAAUCGAAGAUAUCCUUAGAUAAUCCUAAGCCUCAUUUAUGUAGUUAAUUGACAGCUAUCAAUUUAUGAAAUUGCAAUAUAAAAUCUAGGAACCAGGUACGUUUCAAGGAAUUCUCGAUGAUACGGAGGAAGACGGUAAUAUGUCAAUUAGAUUUUAAUGAAAAGCCUUGAGAAUUGAUUAGAUCAUCGGUCUUGAGAACUUUACGUAUACCAACGGUUGGUUAUCAGGUAUUUUCAAUUCGAGAUGAGCAACGUAGACGUAAAUCAAGCUUGAAGCUUGAGAAUUUUGUUGGACGUCAAGUUGUUACGCGGAAAGUACUAAACACGUUGAUGAAGUGCUUACAAAACGUUGUCCAGAAGAGAGACAUAAAGGUAGAGGGGAGGAGGAGGACUCCCCUUGCUGUUCCUUCAAUUCAAUUGAAUUCUAUUCCAGCGUGCAGUUGAUAUCAUUGAGGUCGCCACUUAAAUCCUCAUUGUCGUUCGUCGCUUAUUGUUUCACCCUUCGUUCGGCUACCAACGAAUGUACAUACGUACGUUUCUCUUUCACAUCCGUACCCGCACCUCUAACCGAUCUAAAGGAGAGCCAGACUCGAGGGUCCAACCAGCUAAGAAUUGAAACUGUCGUUGCGGAUCGGAAAAUGGCCGCUCUGGAUAAAUUACACGGGUUAGGAACACUGUUAAAUGAAUUUAAAAUUGAUACAGAUUUCAUUAACCUACUGAAAAUGUUAUGCAAGACAAUUUUUUAGAAUGUACAAAAAGUUUUAAGCAAGAUUAAAACACAGAAGAGUUUCAUUUGAUACGAUAACUAGUAGUUGUGUUAAAAUAUUCUUCUAAAUACUAUAUCAAAAAUUCCCUGAAAAAAAAAGAAAAACAAAAUAAAAUAAAAGAGAAUAAAACAUUCCAGUAAAAGAUAUUUCAUACACAUAUUCGGUAAUUGAAUUUAUUCCAAAAUAUUUCUCCCACAUUUGCAACUUAGACAGCGUACUGUACGUGACUGAAAACACCGAACAAUAAAGUCAUUUGCACAGGCGAUCCUCCAAUUAUAGUGAGCACCACAACACCGCAGACUCGUAAUCCGAAUCACGCAUGAAAAGUAGAUAGAAACGCGGCUAACGAAAGGACGACGAUGGACGAAGAAGAGACGAGCCUCUGGCGGUAACCAAAAAUUUGGUCACCCAACCCCCCCUGUCUGCUUGAAGGGCUUCCCUCGACUUCAUCACCGCUCGAGGACGCAGGUAGCGCCAUCCGACUCGACGCUACUUGCCGCGUAGCGAAUUUCAAGGAGUGCACUUCAGGGUCUUUCAACAGUGGCCGGUGCGCUGGAGAACCCUCUUCGUGUACCGUGAAGGCUUGGGUAGUUUCUGGCUGCGAUGUUGUUGGCAACGGGGAAUACCCCCGGCACCCCAGCCACAUGGAAACGUGGACGGAAUAAUGGACGAAGUGAAGUGCGUCGCGGUUGCUCCCGAAGUGGGCAUUGUUGGCCCACAUGCUCGCUCGAACAAACCAGGUUGAUCGACUUCGUAGGAACACAUGGGAACGUCGACCGCUACUCUUUCUCCUUUCCGUCUCCUUCUUCCCCUUCGUUCUAUUUUUUCUCACUUCUAUUUCAUCUACUUUUGUUUCGUCUCUCAUAUGUAUAUACACGUAUGCACGUCUAAUCUAAUUGUAGCAGUAUUACGACCACUUUCAAGAGUCUUCUAUUCUACCCUUCCCUCUUGGUUCCAAUCCAACAACAUCGAUUCCUUCGCGAGAACCUUAUCAAUGGGGAUCUAGAAUCGUACAAAUGCAUCCGCACGAUAUGAUUUGCUUUUGGGGGAUCAAAGGAACGUUGAGUUGGAAUCGGUUCUCUGUUGGGAUAAGACUGGAGAAUCCCGCAGUGGCUCGUGACGAUCAUGUAAAGUGAAUUAUCCUGUCUGAUUAUAUCGUCAUUGUCAUUAGGUCCUGAUCUCUAUCGCCUUCUCUCUGUCCCAGCCACCUACGGUGCCCCCGUUAACAAUCCCACUUGAUUCCGUCAUUGGCGACGUUGGAGUUCCUGAAUGAGUUCGUAACGAGAUGCACAGCCAGAGGGCUGGCCCACGUCGGGGUUGCCAGCACGUGUCCUCAAUGGACCAAUCAAAGCUCACCCUCUUCUCUAGUCUAGUCUCUCUUGCCGACUCCCUAUGCGUUCCUCUCUUCCCAAGACCGGGCUUUAUGUACAUUAGCCUAAUACGAUCUGGCCACGGAGGAUUUUGUGGGUCGCCGUUGGGAUCAUCUUGUCAUGGUGUGACUCCUCGUUCGUCUUGGGAUCAUUUUCUCACGUUUAGAAAUCCAUUCUGAAAUCUUAAAAGAAUUAAGUUUACUCGUAUUAAUCAAGGUAUCGUUUAUAACAAAUUCCACAAGAAAUUUCCUUGUUUCGAAGAAAUAAAUUUUUCAAGAUUGACAGUUCUGGAAUUAAUUUCCAUGAUUAAUACCAUUAUGUUGGUCUUUAUACCAACAAUCAUAGUAAGAUAAUACGUUAAUGAAUCGAGUGCCCAUAUUAAUUAAGUUAAAUUAAGUUAAAUAAGUAACAUUUAAUGUAAACUCACCCCCUUUUUCAAAGGAAUAAAUAAAUAAUUUUCCCAAACCUAAGAACUCCAUUAGAACUACAUUAAUAAUCAUAAUAAAAUUCUAUUUCUAAAUCCAUCCCUUUUAUGAAGCUAUUGAAUUUUCUAGAUUUAGCGACUUCGAAAUUAAUCUCGUCAACUAUAGUCUCUAUGCUAAUGACUAACGAUUAUGUGAAGGUAUUGCAUCAAUCUCAUCAUAAAAUACUUUCUAAUGAAUACAGUAAUGGAAUUGGAAUUAGAGGAACGAAAUGACCAACGGAUAGAGAAUUGUGCACACACGUGUGAUUAUCUGUACGCGUUCACGCGACAAAUGCGUGUUCGCAUAGAGCGUGAAUGCGUUUGAAGAGAAUCUGAUCUUGGAAUCGGGACUUGUCGAAUGGGAUAGUUUAAUUGCCGCAGGAGGGUGACAUCGCGUACCGACGACGUUUCUGCGGCGACGAAUUCCGUGGGGACAGCGCGCGAUUCCAGUUCAGUGCAUUCGUUGGACCCUGACGCGUGGACCACCAAGUAAGCGGGCUUAAUUUGCGAUUUGACUUCUAUAGCGACUCAUCUCGGGCUUGUGGCUAUAAAGUCGUUAUUAAGAUUCUAUUAUUACAAAUCAGUGGAAAUAAAGAUUUUCUUGAAAAUAAGACGGAGAUAAUAUUUAAAAGGGUAGCAAUAAGUAAGCAACUCCUCUUUUUAAUUCCAUAUCCGUUCUAAUUCCACUAAUGUGUAUAAAUCAACGAAAAUCAACACAGAAUCAGUCAAAAUCAAAUGACUUCUUAAACGCGCUAUAAAUUCAUAGCCGAUUAAUAUUCGUAGUGAUAAAGAUUUGCACUUUUGAAUAGGAAACCUAUAGCUUUCUUUUUCCUCUAAUAAAUACGAUUUAAAUACUCGAGCUGCUUUCUUAUCGUUGUCAAUUCUUCAAAUUAUUUGAUUAUUUUUUAAAUUGUGGAAAAAUAGAUGGGAAAUAUAUAGAGUUUUCGAAGCGGCUCUAUUAAGAUGGAAAUUAGAAUGUAGAAACGAGAGCUCUCUAGCAGACGUUCCAAGUUUGAACGCCCCCUCCUCGGUUCCAAGAAUAAAUAAUUGAACCUAAUUUGCCCCGGCUGUGGUAGUUGUACGCGUAAAAUCCGCUCAACGCGAAUUUAGCCGGCGGAAUCCGCAGCGUGACUGCAAAAACGAAAGAAUGAAAAAAAUAACCGCACUCGCCAGCCGUAAACCUCGAAAAUUAUAAUUGCCACGCGGCGUAGGCAAGAACGCAAUAACGCGAGUUCCAGUUGUAAAAGCACGUGGACACACACGCACGUCGCGUGUACACCAGGUAGGACGUAAUACGAGUUCGUAUAUUCAAGAGAUUACGGAAAGACGAGGAGUUGCGCAGUCCAGGGCUACAGCAGCACAGUGGCUCGGCCGACCACGAUUGCGACACCUCCUUUUAACAACCACUCUCGACAUCCAGGAGAAACUUGUGACAUCAAAACUUCGGGCCGUGGUACGAUUGCAGACUCCGCAAUUCGACGAUCCCAUGAGCCGUCGAAUGUCCUAGAUUGAAAACCCUCGGUUCAUCUCCUUCUCCAGAUAUUCACCUUACCUUCACGAAUUAUAGCUAUUUUAGUCGAGAAGUUGCGUCAUUGCGAAUUAAGAAAUUUUUCAAAAGAUUAUUUAGAACUUUGCGAGAUUUAAUAUUUUCCAAAUUUCUUAGAAAACUCUUCAAAAGUCUUACUUAUCUGAGUCUUAUUUAUUCCUUAUUCAAGGGAAUACUUAUGUUAACCAUCCUCGCUAAUACUAAUCAGCUUAGAACUGAAAAUCAGCCCUGAAAAUUAGAAAAUUUCUUAGACAGUCUUUUAAAUUUCCUCGAGAUUUACCACGUAAUUCAAAACAUAUUCUACUAGUCCUUAGAAUCCUUAGAAACUAAAAAUUCCUCAAAAGGUUCUCUCUAAAAUUUAUCUUGUAGAAACCAAAGAUACAAGGAUCGUACACAGCAGCGAUUCCUCGACAUUUCCAUCAACAGCGGAAUACCAUGACGAUGGGCAACGUCCGCGAAAAGAACAAAAGCACUUUCACGUGUUGGGGGAUAGACGCGGCUAAUUGAAAAAAUCUCGACGGACGCUCCAGUAACAAAACGUGACUUUCGGCGCGCCGCAGUUCGUGGAACGAGAACGGAUUGGCUCGGGUUUCCACGGCGCGAAAUAAAAGCCGCACGCGGAGUAGAUUCAAUCAGGCUACGAGGGGUUUGAUGAGGGGUCCAGGGGGUGAGGGAACGCAGCAUCGAUGGGGAGAGUGGUGCGCGAGAAGCAGUCGGUUGAAGUGCAAACGCGAAGGGCUCCGUAAAUGCGUUCACGCACAUAUACGGCGAUGGGUUCAAGUCAGUACAUCGAAAAAGGAUAAACUAUCGUCGCACACGCACACACAUUGUUCGUUCGUUCGUACGCGCUCUCCCUAAUAUCAUAGGGUGCAUUACGCGUUAAGUUAAGUUACACUUAAGGAUGCUCGUUGAACAGGAUUACGUAUGUACAUACACGUUAAUGCACGCGUACCUAGUUGAGUGCGUAUUGUCGCGCUGGAAUGGGAAUUAAACGAGUUUUAUCUCGCGAAUACUAAUAUCAGGGUGUCGUGUAACUUUCAGUUAAUGCGUCUGAAAGUGGGUUUCUUUCGAUGACGACAAAAAGUCUCGGCUAUUUUUCUACUGGUAAAUUUUGUUUUAAUUAGAGAUUAGGAUGGAUCUUUGUAAAGUUUCGGGAAAAAAGGAAUGAGACGUUUUACAAUAAUUUAAGGAUAAUUUUAUAACGUAUGAUAAGUAUCACGUUAAUGAUCGAGAAAUUAUAAUUGAUGGAUUUUUUGUGAAACGAUGCAAGUACAUGAAAUGAUCCACCGUAUGUGCGAUGUGUGUAUUCGUACUUUCCUAGAAGAGGGAUUUUUACAAAGAUUAUUAUAAAUCUCCAAAUUUUAACGUCUACGUAAGACAAGGUAUUUUAACUGUUCGAAGUGAUAUCUUGAAUCUGCUCCGAUCAUCGAUUCUAUUCGCGUCUAUUCGUGUAAAAAGAUAGAGGUGCAAAGGGUUAAUGUUCGAAGGCAUACUGAUUUCUAUAUCACAGUUUAAUUACACUCACGCUCUCCUCAAAUUAAAUAUUUCAUCACCUAUAUCACUUUCCCUUCACUGAACCCUUCAAUUUGAAUUACUCCUGAAUCUUAACGCCAGCCAAUUUGUCGUAACACAAAGUAAAGGCUGAAUUAACGAGCAAUCUAAAUCUAGAAACCUAUGUUCGCACGAUUCCUCGGCUCGUUUCUUGUUCUCGUUCCACCGCUUUUUCCGUGAAAUAAAUCGCUGUUCCAACAAACUAGUUCGAAUCAGAGGAAAAUACGAACUCGGAUAACAGCGUUCCUCUUCAAUUUACUUACUUCGUAAGCUAUAUUCUCUGGAUUCGCGUGGAGGUAGGAUAGUUUUCUUGGUAACGCGAAUGCACGUAUACUUUUUGUGGCUGGUACGCUGCCGGCUAUGCUGCAAUAGCAUUAGGCCGGCCAAUUGGACGCAUCUGUUGACUGGUAACCGGGUGACCUCGCCUCUUAUCAAAUGCGUUGACACGAUAGAAGUCGAGAGGUCCAUUUGUUGGGCGUUAACGUUGCAUAAAAGGAUAAAAGGAACCAAAGCAACCGAGGGGGAAAACAUGAUACUGAUUGCGCCAGCCGAUUGUCUCUUCAAGAUCGACGAUAUCGGUUCUUCCUAAGGGCUCCUUCUUUUUCCUCGUUUUCCAGAUCACACGUCAAUUAGACCAUUACAGACUUGUAAGGAAUAGCUUCUUUCAAUCUUAUCUCACUUAUUCGCUUAUACAUGUACAUGCGAGAAAUUAACGCUAGAAGGAUCGACGAUUAAAAUGGGAAACUUGCGUAAACAAAAUAUCAGAGUAUAUAUGGAUAAAGAAUAAUGUGCAGUGUAUAUCUGCAAUAGAAGAAUUAUAAAACUUAUAUAACAAAUUACGAAUUAGUAAUUUUAACCACUUUGAUUGUUCUGAUAUUUUCGAACAUCGGGCGAAUGAAAUGUUUUGUUUGCAACGACGAUAAACACAAAUUUUUUGUGCUGUCAGGCCAAAGUUCCCAACAUUGAGAAAGAAAAAAAUUGAUAUAUGGUCGAGAUAUAAUAUUUGGCCCAUAUAUCCGACAAUGUUAUAAGAAUUUUAUUUAUCGAAGAGAAAGGGAUGAAGGAUGGCAAUAUAAAAUUACACGAAACGCCUGAUAAGAUUAAUUACGUUUGCAUCAGGCUCUCGUGAAUAUAUUUCUUCAAGCGUUUCCGCUCUUCUUCGCUUAAACACAGGUAGACAUACACUUAUUUCGCGAAAUUUAAUUCUGGGUUACACUGAUGGAGGGUAAAGACAGCCAUGAUUAAUCAGUUCCAUCAUUGAAGGCUGUUCGUCGUUAAGACGUCGAUGCCCGACAUUGGAGAAGGGGAGGUGGAAAAGAAGUGGACUCAGGGAGUCGUUAAUCGCGGAAAUUCGGUGAAACCGUAAUUAGCAGGACGAUCGCCGUUAUGGCGGGGCACGAAAGUUCGCCGGACCAGCAGCCUAAUGAACUCGUUACAUAUUUACACGUUGUUCGUGCCUGACGGUCGGUUCGGGGAGCUCAGAAAACCACAUCGAAUUAAGAGGUCCUUUCGCAAAUUGCAGACGGAACACGAGAGAGCGAUUUAACCUUAUCGAUCCACGAACGACUUUCUGAUCUGUUUUAACACCCACGUCCUGCCGCUAACGUUCUAGAUAAUGAUACUGGACACGCCUGUUAAACCGCUAAUUUGAAACAAUUUAUAUAUGUGUAUACAUUUAUAUAUAUAUCUAUAUAUCUAUAUAUAUAUAUAUAUAUAUAUAUGAAUUAAACUGGCCUGUAAUUUGCCACCGUGGUGUUCCGUUGUUGGUCUGCGAAAAUCGUCGGAUUUCUACAUUUUUCGAUACUUGACAGGCACGUGUGUUUCUUCUCUUCGCUAAAAGCGCGAAGCUUCGUUCGUUUCCUCUCUGAUAUCUUGGUAACGUAAAAGACAUUGAACUGAGUUAGUUGUUCGAAAUUUUUGCGAAGUCAAAGAUACAAUUAUCUUGUCAAGCAAAGAUCUGAAUUUGGAGAUGUGUGGUUAUAUAUAUUUGCAGUGAUGUUUAAAAUGAGAAGUAUCUAACUUUUGCGAAAUUAAAAAUAUUAUAUUAGACGUUAUAGAGCAGGGCAUACGAUAAUCGUAGGAAAUGAAAAUUUAAAAUCAAGAAACUAACUUAGUCGAUAAUUUAUGAAAUCCAUAUUUUUGUGAACAUGACAGGAUCUAGAUAUUUAUAUUAUUUACUAAAUAUUAUGACGAGUACUUUAUUUUGUGUAUUUUAUAAAUACAAACCACACCUUAAUCAUCAAACCCAUAAACUUCAAGAACUUAAAACCUAAAUCGGCCAUUUAAAACAUUUAUAAUACAAUACUACUGUAAUUCCCAGAAAACUACAUUCUCUUCGACGAUUUCUCCCUCAAACCCGUUUCUACGAUCUAAUUGUCGUAUCUGAGAUUCAAUUCGCCCCACCAGCCCCGUUUCUCUACGAUUCCCUCACGAGUACAACGAGGUUCGCCAAUUUGUCGUGGCAUCGGUCGUGCUUCGUUCCUCGACCGAAGCACUUCGACCACUCGACCGACGGUCCCACACGUGCAAACGCGUCCGCGUAAGCAUAGAACGCAAUACGCGUGUGUGCGCGCGUAUUUGUGUGUCGUGGGGUUAAUUGAAUCAAGCAGCACGCAACCAGCUCUGUAUACACUGCCGGGUCAUCCGAGGUCAAAUCGGUAAUGGGCUGACCCUUAAUUCGCCAUGUGGCUGACCACCGAACGCCGAUACAUCGUCGUCGCUCUGGUUCCUUCGACAUGCGACCCAUCCUAGAUUCCCGCUGACCUUGAACUGGAAACACCGUCGACGACACGGUGGAUCCAUGCCAGCUCGUCCGGCACGAAACCCACCCCCUCAGGAUGAAUGGCGUCGUUCCGGCAGGCCGAAGAUAAAUCGAGAUACUUCAAGAACACCCCGUACCUACACAGAUGUUUAAGAGCUAAGCAACUACUCAGAGCGAGUGAGUUGAUGCGAGCCGCGUAUCACGAGAAGGAAGUUCAAUUUAACCCAAUAAAGGACAAUCAGAGGCCGACGGCGACCAGAGACGAAUACCUACUACUCCUCUGAUGGCUAAACGGAUCGACCGAGGGACUUCGCCUUCAGGUCUUUUCGGCUCGGAAGAUGGAAAACUCGUCGACGUGUUCAGACAUCGUACCUACCAACGUCUUAUCGCAGACAUCCUUUCUGUUAGGUUCGUGCAUAUGAAAUAUCUCUUUUCCGAUGUGGUACUGUUAUCAGUGUUUUAUUUUAUCGUUAAUUAUCGAAUAUAAUAAAGAAGCAGCAAUUUGCUAUAAAUCAUAUUAUUUAAUCCUGAGUGGGUACUAUGCCAUAAAGAAAAAAAAAAAUUGAUACGUCAUUAUUGGCUGUCAGGAGUAACUAGAGUAUUCGUAUGAUUUCCUUACGUGAGUUUCAUUUUGGAAAAGGUACCCUGAAAGCACUUGAAACAAGUGGAGAAAGUUGAAGAUACUCUGUGUCCUAAUGAAACAGUUAAAUAAGUUUAAUUGAUAAUAAAUUAUUCUAUAGAAGAAAUCGUAACAGAUCUAUUUCAAGAAUCGUCGAAUUUAAAAAUCGGUAAUUUUUAUAAAUCUGAAAUAAUGUACGUCGUAUAUGCAUUAAAUAUACAAAAAAGAACAUAUCCACUAACUUAAUGUUAUUCAAUUAAUUUAUUGAUUCGAACAAUAGCAUAAUAUAUUUCUUCAAAUAACGUUGCACGACUGAUCAACAGUUUGUUUACCGUUUAAUACCACAGAUCCAUCUGUUGUCGAUAUCCAGGCUACGUUUUCCUUUUAUGCAACUAGAAUAGUUCGCCAGAGGAGUUUUCGAUUGGCAAAUGGGUAUUACGGGCUUAGGGAGUUAGCGAAAAUGGAAAAGGCCAAUUCAGUUCAUUCUUCGGGUUCGCCGCUCCGCGAACGACAAGGAGCAUCUAGUUCACGAUCCAAUGGACCGUGAAGUCUGUGACAUGGACCAAGUGGAAUUUUCGGUCAGUGUGUUUCUUACAAAAGGCCGCAAAAAGCCCGCAAAAAGGCUGCAACGAUCCGCUGUGAGAAAGGAAAGGGAACAGAAUGGCUCAACGACGGGAUUUGAAGCGUUCAAUGAUGCUGAUUCGUGAUCGCUGAUCGGGAACAUCGAUUUUGACAGGGUAGGAAAGUGGUAAACAAAGCGACAGAUGAUUUACAAUUUCGUACAGUUUCUUAAAGUUUUAUUAAUAUUAAUAAUAAUCGAAGGUAAGCUGCAGUUUCUUUAUUUGCAGAAUUUAUUAUAUUUUAAGUUACAAAUAGUACAUAGAUUUCUUAACACAUUCACUGCUACUAGUGCGUGUGGUGUACCGAUUAAAUACAGGCAAAUUAUCGCUCAAAAUAAAGAAAUUUCUGAUAGAGCGAAGAAUGUAACUGUACGGGCAGGUGAGUGUGUUUCAGUAACAGGAAGUGUGUCAGAGGGGUAACAUUUAUUAUAUAUUUUUUACUUAUACCAUUAGAAACAGAAGAGACUCUUAUUUAUAUACAUAGAAGCUUGCAUAUUCUUUCUUCUAAAGGGACUUAAGCUUCUAAUUAUAUUUUAUAUUACACUUGUAAUUUAAUAUCUCACAAUUCUUUAUCAUUAUUUGAAUUUCAUUCUUAUUUUCAACCCUUAACUAUACAUCUCCGUAUCUUUACGCGAAGCCUUUUAGAUUAUCUAACAUUUUAUUUACUAAAUCGUAUGUCAUAAGAGUUAGUCCAAUAUAUCUAUUAGAUAGUUUAAGGUUUCUUACAACUGUUCGAACUUCUUCGUCUCUAGUUAACGCUUUCACAAUCCUCGAACUGGCACGGUCUAGUCUAUAAUAUCUCGCGACAAUAUUGCCUAACCCCCUGAAACAUGGGUUGACACUCGCAGCGAGACGCAAAUUAAUUAUCAUGCAUUGAUAACAACGUGUUACAAGAACAGACAAUCGGGGACCAACGGUGUCUCCAAAAUCUCACGGGGUUCAUUCACGGCGUCGUGGAAAGAGCGAGGGCUAUCUAUGAAAUUAGCGGGGGUUCGGCUUUAACCCUCCCCAUGGAUGGAUAAGGGGGGUUGAGCAUUAGCGAUUAUACGCACCGCGGAGUCCAUACAUCGGGUGUCUCCGUGUGGAACUAAACAGACAAAAUGGCCACACUACGGCUCACCCUCGAUUCCGUUUUCCUUUUACGAGCCACAGUGGCCGUCUCUUUUCAUCCUUUCUCCCUUCCUACGAGUUUCUCCUUUUUACCUACAAGGCGACAAGGAAGAGGCGAGUCACGAGAUUUUCGAAAGUGCUCUCUCGCCUCUUUUCCUAUCUCUGUAUGCAGUCGCGUCUGUGGAAAGCGUACUGCACGCUCCAUCAACGUGUGGUAUUUCUCCUCUGUUGCAUUUUACAUCUCGAUAUCGUCGUAAGAUCUAUCGAAAGGCGCAUUAUUUGCAUUUUACUGAUGUGAAUGGAAUAGUAGCGGGAGAUGGAUGAUUAAAUUACCCGGAGAGGGGUUGCUAUUUUUCCUGAGAUUAUCUCGACCGAUUAUCUACUGCAAUAAUGUUCAAUAACGUGAUAUUACUUGGGCAAAGUCGAGAGCUGUGUGCAAUGUUUUUAUCAGUUUUAUGCGAUUCAAAGAUUGCCAAGUGUCGAAGGAAAUCCGGUAAUGAAAUUAGAAAAGAAAAACUUCUUACGUUGGUUCUUCUAAUCUGGUUGUUGAAACGAUUUACAAAGUUUACAGUCGCGUACAAGACUCGUGAAGUCGACAUAGUGUCUUUUCUAGUGGAUUUCCUAGUUGACUGCUUUUCAAAUAUUAAAGAUUAUAACGUAAAACGUACUCGAUAAGAACAUUAGAAAACGGAACUUUACCUCAAUUUUAUUGAUUCAUUUGAUUGAUCGCAAAAUAGAUGCUAGUAAUCUAUUCCCUAUCUUUCUUUUAUUCUUACAUUUAUUUUUACAAAAUCAGCUUUUGAGCGAAAGGCGUGCCCAUAAACACGAAGCAGAUACAUGAAAAUAUUCUAAAACGUGUACACAUUUACAGUCCAUAAAAUAUUAGGUACGUAAAUUAAUUCUUACAUCUGAAACGAAACUGAUUUAAUCCAUGCAAACAGGAAA